AUUGAACGCUGGCGGCAUGCCUUACACAUGCAAGUCGAACGGCAGCGCGGACUUCGUUCUGGCGGCGAGUGGCGAACGGGUGAGUAAUACAUCGGAACGUACCCUGUUGUGGGGGAUCACUAGUCGAAUGAUUAGCUAAUACCGCAUACGACCUGAGGUUGAAAGUGGGGGACCGCAAGGCCUCACGCAGCAGGAGCGGCCGAUGUCUGAUUAGCUAGUUGGUGGGGUAAAGGCCCACCAAGGCGACGAUCAGUAGCUAGUCUGAGAGGACGAUCAGCCACACUGGGACUGAGACACGGCCCAGACUCCUACGGGAGGCAGCAGUGGGGAAUUUUGGACAAUGGGGGCAACCCUGAUCCAGCAAUGCCGCAUGUGUGAAGAAGGCCUUCGGGUUGUAAAGCACUUUUGUCCGGAAAGAAAGCGCGCUGGUUAAUACCUGGCGUGGAUGACGGUACCGGAAGAAUAAGCACCGGCUAACUACGUG
rnacentral:rRNA from 1 species